CACAAAUCUCGCGAGAUGUUGAUCCGGUCCGCACUUUGUCAGCAGUCGCUCGUUCCUCCAUUUCGCUGCGUCGAAAGUCUCCUCCCCGCAACCGCUAGAUUCAGCGAUCCAAACCCAGUCUCUCUCGGACCGGUCUUUAACUUGCUCAAACGAACCUGCCAGUACCUCGUUGGGUACCGAGAGGUAGUUUGGAAAACUCCAAUCACGGAUUGAGUGCGAUUUGACGCGGAUGGCGACUCCUUCAACGAGAAUUUAGUAAAAGAAAAGUGCUCGGAAAUUUCAGAUGCAGUGGUGUCUUUGAUCUCAGCAUCCUGGAAGUGGAAAGCACAGAAGAGACUGGGCCUACACCACAUACAGGUGCAGUGUGUAGAAGAAGCAGUCCAGAAGGAGGAAGACUUGGGGAGGAGGUGGUGCAGCAGCGCACCCCUCCGGCUGUGCUGGGUG
ensembl:lncRNA